GGAUGUGGCUCAAGCGAUAGAGCGCUCGCCUGGCGUGUGUGCAGCCUGGGUUCGAUCCCCAGCACCA
rnacentral:tRNA from 1 species